CGAUAAUUCACGAUUGACUUUACUUAUUUUUGUUAUUCAAUUUGUAUACCGCCGUCAUCAGAAUAUUUUUUUAGAAAAUAAAUUUUCAAUAUUUUUAAUUAAGUUAUAUGUCAGGUCAAGGUGCAGUUUAUAAAUAAGAGGAGAUGGAUUACAAUAAGUUUAUUUAUUAUGAAUAAAGAAUUGAAAAUGUCUUUUGAAGGUGGAU
rnacentral:rRNA from 1 species